rnacentral:sRNA from 1 species
UCCACAUCCGGAUCCCGGGCGAUUACGGC